GGAGGAUCCGAGCGUUAUCCGGAUUUAUUGGGUUUAAAGGGUGCGUAGGCGGCCUGUUAAGUCAGGGGUGAAAGACGGUAGCUCAACUAUCGCAGUGCCCUUGAUACUGAUGGGCUUGAAUGUACUAGAGGUAGGCGGAAUGUGACAAGUAGCGGUGAAAUGCAUAGAUAUGUCACAGAACACCAAUUGCGAAGGCAGCUUACUAUGGUAUGAUUGACGCUGAGGCACGAAAGCGUGGGGAUCAAACAGGAUUAGAUACCCUGGUAGUCCACGCCCUAAACGAUGAACACUCGAUGUUGGCGAUAUACGGUCAGCGUCUAAGCGAAAGCGUUAAGUGUUCCACCUGGGGAGUACGCCCGCAAGGGUGAA
rnacentral:rRNA from 1 species